CGCUGGCGGCAUGCCUAAUACAUGCAAGUCGAACGCUGAAACACUCUGCUUGCAGAGUGUGGAUGAGUGGCGAACGGGUGAGUAACACGUGGGGAAUCUGCCUAUAAGUGGGGGAUAACAUUCGGAAACGGAUGCUAAUACCGCAUAUAUUCAAAAACCGCAUGGUUUCUGAAAGAAAGACGGCUUUACUGUCGCUUAUAGAUGAUCCCGCGGCGUAUUAGUUAGUUGGUGGGGUAAUGGCCUACCAAGACCAUGAUACGUAGCCGACCUGAGAGGGUGAUCGGCCACACUGGGACUGAGACACGGCCCAGACUCCUACGGGAGGCAGCAGUAGGGAAUCUUCCACAAUGGGUGCAAACCUGAUGGAGCAAUGCCGCGUAGAAUGAAGAAGGUCUUCGGAUCGUAAAGUUCUGUUAUUAGAGAAGAACAAGUCAAGGAGUAACUGUCUUGACUUUGACGGUACCUAACCAGAAAGUCACGGCUAACUACGUGCCAGCCGCUGC
rnacentral:rRNA from 1 species